CAAUAGCGUAUAUUAAUGUUGUUGCAGUUAAAAAGCUCGUAGUUGGAUUUCUGGUGGGAGCGGCCGGUCCGCCGUAAGGUGUGUACUUGGUUGUCUCCUGUCAUCCUUGUGGGAACUGCUCUGGCAUUAAGUUGUCGGGGUUAGGGAACACAUCGUUUACUGUGAAAAAAUUAGAGUGUUUAAAGCAGGCUUAUGCCGUUGAAUACAUUAGCAUGGAAUAAUAAGAUAGGACUUUGGCGUCUAUUUUGUUGGUUUGCACACCAAGGUAAUGAUUAAUAGGGAUAGUUGGGGGUAUUCGUAUUUAAUUGUCAGAGGUGAAAUUCUUGGAUUUAUGAAAGACGAACUUCUGCGAAAGCAUUUACCAAAGAUGUUUUCAUUA
rnacentral:rRNA from 1 species